UACGAAGGGGGCUAGCGUUGCUCGGAAUCAUUGGGCGUAAAGAGCGUGUAGGCGGCCCGAUAAGUCCGCUGUGAAAGUCCAGGGCUCAACCCCGGGAGGCGGGCGGAUACUGUCGGGCUAGAGUCCGGAAGAGGCGAGUGGAAUUCCUGGUGUAGCGGUGAAAUGCGCAGAUAUCAGGAGGAACACCAAUGGCGAAGGCAGCUCGCUGGGACGGUACUGACGCUGAGACGCGAAAGCGUGGGGAGCAAACAGG
rnacentral:rRNA from 1 species